rnacentral:lncRNA from 1 species
GUGAAGCGAUGCCUCAGGCUGGUAUGAACUUUGAGCCUAAAAGAAGGGGAACCUAUCACAACAGCCGUAAAACCAAUGAUCUGAUCAACAACAUAGGUUUGGUUAAUGGAGCAGUUGUUUACAAUGGAUGCUCAGCUUCUGCCAGCAGAAUCAGUAGGAGCACACCAGCUGGCACACAGCAUGGUCCUAAACCCACAUACAGGAUUAACGGUUAUAUUAACCAUGGCUACAAAGGCAAGAGUACAAAAGCAGCACCCCCAGGGACCAUCAAGAAACAAGGAUGCAAAAUUUCAGCUCUCUGUGAUUCCCCAGCAUCUGAUGGAAACCGCAGUGAAGAUCUCAUGAGUGGUAACUCAGCCAAAGUUAGUGCUCCGCCCAGUAAUAUUAACCAAAAGGUACCAGAUCUCAGCCUGUCAGCGUCAGGGAAGAACAAAAGGUGGAGGAGAUCUAGACACAAGAAGAGUGAACCAUGAAUAACAGCCCUAGACUGGCAAGUUUUACUACUGCAGAGGUCCUGAGACAGAUAAGUAAUACAUAAUGCUCAGCUGAUGGAGAUGAGUCAGGUUUACUCCCUUUUGCAUAAAAACAAUACAAACAUUUGUGAAAUAAUGGGUUGUUCUAAAGAGCUCACUAAAUCUGAGUGGGGUACUGUAAUAGGAUACUGUAAUAAAUCAGUUAAGUUUGUGAAGUUCUUCCCUUAUAAAUUACGAACCAUAGCAACUCGGCCCUGAAGUACAGAACAGGGUGCAUAAAAGUCAACUGUAAAGUUUGAUGGAGGAAGGAUAAUGCUAUGGGGUUGUUUUUCUAGGGUUAGCCAGGGUCCUUUACUUCAAGCAAGGGGAGUUCUCAAUUCUAUGCUUCCAGCUUCAUGGGAACAGCCUUGGGAAUGGCAUUCCAGUGGGACUGUGCACAGAGCAAGGGAGAUUCAGAUGUGUCCAUAGAUUGAAUAUGUGAAAUUAUAAAAGCUCCUGUAGUGCAGACAAUUUCACACUAUACUUUUGUAUUGGAAACAAUCAUUAAAAGUAUUCCUGUACAAAAAAUUAUACUCAUGAAGUAGAAGAAUAAAUGCU